rnacentral:rRNA from 1 species
AGUGAACGCUGGCGGUAGGCCUAACACAUGCAAGUCGAACGGCAGCACAGGAGAUCUUGCUCUCUAGGUGGCGAGUGGCGGACGGGUGAGGAAUACAUCGGAAUCUGCCCAGUCGUGGGGGAUAACGUAGGGAAACUUACGCUAAUACCGCAUACGACCUUCGGUUGAAAGAGGGGGAUCGCAAGACCUCUCGCGAUUGGAUGAGCCGAUGUCGGAUUAGCUAGUUAGCGGGGUAAUGGCCCACCAAGGCGACGAUCCGUAGCUGGUCUGAGAGGAUGAUCCGACAGCUUGGAACUGAGAAACGGCCCCGACUCCUACGGGAGGACGCAGUGGGGAAUACUGGACAAUGGGGGAAAGCCUGAUCCAGCCCUACCGGGUGGGUGAAGAAGGCCUUAGGGUUGUAAAGCCCUUUUGUUGGGAAAGAAAUCUUUCAGGCUAAUACCCUGGGAGGAUGACGGUACCCAAAGAAUAAGCACCGGCUAACUUCGUG